rnacentral:rRNA from 1 species
GAUGAACGCUGGCGGCGUGCCUAAUACAUGCAAGUCGAGCGAACAGACGAGGAGCUUGCUCCUCUGACGUUAGCGGCGGACGGGUGAGUAACACGUGGAUAACCUACCUAUAAGACUGGGAUAACUUCGGGAAACCGGAGCUAAUACCGGAUAAUAUAUUGAACCGCAUGGUUCAAUAGUGAAAGACGGUUUUGCUGUCACUUAUAGAUGGAUCCGCGCCGCAUUAGCUAGUUGGUAAGGUAACGGCUUACCAAGGCAACGAUGCGUAGCCGACCUGAGAGGGUGAUCGGCCACACUGGGACUGAGACACGGUCCAGACUCCUACGGGAGGCAGCAGUAGGGAAUCUUCCGCAAUGGGCGAAAGCCUGACGGAGCAACGCCGCGUGAGUGAUGAAGGUCUUCGGGUCGUAAAACUCUGUUAUUAGGGAAGAACAAAUGUGUAAGUAACUAUGCACGUCUUGACGGUACCUAAUCAGAAAGCCACGGCUAACUACGUG